UCUUUGUUGCACAGUAACAACAGAAUUCUCAGCUGCUCUGCAACGGGUUGGCGAUUUCGAUCAUGCGUCCUACACUCCGCAUCGAUCUCUUCCAUCGCUGCUUCGUGAUCCUUCCGAUCCCUGCUUCCUUAUCUUUUCGAUCUCUGCUUUACGAUCUUCUCGCCCCCUCAUCCUGUACCCAAUUUCUUUAGCCUUCAAGAGAUUUCCCUUUUUUAUUUUGGAAAUUGACGUGCUUUUCCAAUUCAUCGCCAAAACAAACCCGUGCUUCCUCCCUCUUCGUCUUCUCCUCUCGCAAUCUGCGCCCUUAGUUCUCAAUUGGAUUCACAGUAAACACCCAGAAAUUUAGAGGAUUACUUUUGAGAAGCAUUGUUGGAAACGAUCAUUGUCAACUAUCUGAUUGCAAUGGACAAAGAUUGGCUAACAUUUUCGAGACCAUCAACAGAAUACAGAGAGGGUGCACAAAAGUUUGUACAAGUAGCUAAAGAAUAUGGAGGAAAUCGAGAUAAGAUCAUUUGCCCAUGUAUAAUAUGUCAAAACCAAUGUUUUCAACUACCUGCGAUUGUGUAUGAACACUUGGUUAUAAAUGGAUAAAAAGUACACCUGUCACAGCCCGACCCGAGAAAUAAUUAUCAUGGUUGUGAAAAGAUGAAUUUACCCUUGAGCGUCGGGUGUGUGUUUGUAUUUUGGGUUAAGAAAUUGGGUCAAUUAGUUUUAUCCCUAACUAAUUGGACCCAAUUAGAGCUAAAAGAUUAAAGAGUUUUGAUUGGUGUACAUUUUGGAACCACACACACAUCCAUAUCCUUUCUCUCUCUUCUCUCACGUACUCUCUCUCGGACUCACUCUCUUUUCCCUCUCAUCCGUACGGACAACCUUGAACCAAGCCAAAUCUUCACAGAUCGA